rnacentral:rRNA from 1 species
GACGAACGCUGGCGGCGUGCUUAACACAUGCAAGUCGAACGGAAAGGCCCUGCUUUUGUGGGGUGCUCGAGUGGCGAACGGGUGAGUAACACGGGAGUAACCUGCCCUUGACUUUGGGAUAACUUCAGGAAACUGGGGCUAAUACCGGAUAGGAGCUCCUGCAGCAGGGUGGGGGUUGGAAAGUUUAGGCGGUGGGGGAUGGACGCGCGGCUUAUCAGCUUGUUGGGGGGGUAGUGGCUUACCAAGGGUUUGGCGGGUAGCCGGCCUGAGAGGGUGGCCGCCCACCUUGGGACUGCGGGUCGGCCCAGUCUCCUACGGGAGGCAGCAGUGGGGAAUCUUGCACAAUGGGCGGAAGCCUGAUGCAGCGACGCCGCGUGCGGGAUGCCGGCCUUCGGGUUGUAAACCGCUUUCGCCUGUGACGAAGCGUGAGUGACGGUAAUGGGUGAAGAAGCACCGGCUAACUACGUG